rnacentral:rRNA from 1 species
AUGGAUGUGAAUUUUGUUGGUAGGAAUAAUUUUGGUAAUAACGCGUAUAGAGGCAAUUUCAACCCUAGGCCGUUUCCUAGUAAUUCCUCUAAUAAUUAUGGUAAUUCCUACAACAAUUCUUAUGGAAAUUAUAAUAAGAUACCUUCUGAUCUUGAGAACAAUAUUAAAGAUUUUAUAAAUUCUCACAUGAUUUUUAAUGCUAUGGUAGAAGAAAAAUUGCUUAAAGCCGAUGAUGUGGCUAGAAACGUUGAUAAGAUUUCUCUUGAGAUUGAUUCUUUGAAGAUGAGACAUAUGCCACACAAGGAUGAUAUUAAUGAGUCUUUAAAAACUAUUUGA